rnacentral:tRNA from 1 species
GUGCCCGUAGUUCAAUGGAUAGAAUGAGAGCCUCCGAAGCUCUAGAUACAGGUUCGAUUCCUGUCGGGCGCGCCA